CCCACCAAGCCUGCGAUCAGUAACUGGUGUGAGAGCACGACCAGUCACACGGGCACUGAGACACGGGCCCGACUCCUACGGGAGGCAGCAGUAAGGAAUAUUGGUCAAUGGACGAAAGUCUGAACCAGCCAUGCCGCGUGAAGGAUGAAGGCCCUCUGGGUUGUAAACUUCUUUUAUCUGGGACGAAAAAAGGGGAUUCUUCCUCACUUGACGGUACCAGAGGAAUAAGCACCGGCUAACUCCGUGCCAGCAGCCGCGGUAAUACGGAGGGUGCAAGCGUUAUCCGGAUUCACUGGGUUUAAAGGGAGCGUAGGUGGGUCUGUAAGUCAGUGGUGAAAUCUCCGGGCUUAACCCGGAAACUGCCAUUGAUACUAUAGGUCUUGAAUUAUCUGGAGGUAAGCGGAAUAUGUCAUGUAGCGGUGAAAUGCUUAGAUAUGACAUAGAACACCAAUUGCGAAGGCAGCUUGCUACGGAUAUAUUGACACUGAGGCUCGAAAGCGUGGGGAUCAAACAGGAUUAGAUACCCUGGUAGUCCACGCCCUAAACGAUGGAUACUCGACAUCAGCGAUACACUGUUGGUGUCUGAGCGAAAGCAUUAAGUAUCCCACC
rnacentral:rRNA from 1 species